rnacentral:lncRNA from 1 species
CACGUUUCUCUUCUCUCUCCAUCACCGUCUCUCUACCUCACCGUCUCUCUCUUUCUCUCUAUCUUCCUCUUUUCUCUCUCUCUUGCUCACGUCUAUCUCCGCCAUUCUCUCUAGCGGAGUCUUGGCUGGAAUCACCUAAAUUAAUCGGAAUUAUCGAGUUUCCAAGUGAGGGUUUGGUGUAAUCAAGUUUAGGUUGAAGAAUUGAGAGGUGAAAGAUGAAAGCCCGAAUUGAUUCUUCAAAGGAAGUGCCGCAACGUUUUAUGAACAGAGUUUUGAGAAUCCGGAGGCACUAGUAUAAACCAUAAGAGGUCAGCUUCACAUCGGUGGUGGUGGUCGGAAUGGGUCGAAGAAGACGAGCUGUCCAGAGUUGAAUUUCAGCUUUUGGUCCUUUGAAGAAUUAAUUGCUCGGAGGCCUUAAAGGUUGAAUAUUGACGAUCAGGACACACGGUUAGAAACCUUGAGAUGUUAGCUUUCGAUUGGUGUUGGAGCUCGGUAGUAUUAAUCGGCGGUGGUUGCCGGAAUUGGGCGAGAAGUUCAGCCUGCUCGCUGGAUCUAUAAUGAAAUCUGCUGCCGCACCUGUUUUCGGAGCCGAAAUCGAAGGGUUUCGAAUGCGAAUUUGGAAUCGGUUCCUUCAGGAAACUCGUAGAGGACAUCGUAAACUGUAAGUAAGUGUUCAAUCAUAUCGAAUUAGAGUAUUUAAUAUACGUGUUUUAGAGGUCGGAAUCCGAUGACAGUAAUCUGCCGGAAACAGGGCAGUUUUGAGUAUCUUCUUGCGGGACUGUUUUCGAUAUGUUGGGAUCAUAAUUUGGGCUGUGCGUCUGGAUGAAACUUGUAGAUUAAGUUGUCAGGUUUCAUUUGAUGUAUUAUUUGGACAAUUUGGAUAACCGUACGAUUUGUUAUGAUUUUCCAAAGAAACUGUGACAGCAAACGAAAUUAUCCAAAAAAUCUGGCAGGUUUAUGUACUCAUCUUUCGGGGUUAUUAUUGAC